AUUGAACGCUGGCGGCAGGCUUAACACAUGCAAGUCGAGCGAGCGGCGGACGGGUCAGUAAUGUCUGGGAAAAAGCCUGAUGGAGGGGGAUAACUACUGGAAACGGUAGCUAAUCCCGCAUACCAUCAGACGUGCCCAGAUGGGAUGAGCUAGUAGGUGGGGUAAUGGCUCAAACUGGCGACGAUGCCUAGCUGGUCUGAGAGGCUGACCAGCCACACUGGAACUGAGACACGUUCCAGACUCCUGCGAGAGGCCGCAGUGGGGAAUAUUGCGCAAUGGGCGCACGCCUGAUGCAGCCAUGCCGCGGGUGAGAAGAAUCACCUCGGGUGGGAAAGCACUGUCAGCGAGAAGGCGGUACUCGCAGAAGAAGCACCGGCUAACUCCGUGCCAGCAGCCGCGGUAAUAC
rnacentral:rRNA from 1 species